CUGGGUAAUUUUGUUGGAGCAAUUUAGGGUGCUCCAUUUUCUUCCCUACUGCUGCAGCUAAAGUCCUGACAACAACUUAAGGGAGAGACAGAAAUUCCUGCACCAGCAAUGUCUAAC